GAACAUAUGGUUAUAAGGAGUAGUAGGUAAACUUACUUUUUUAGAGAGUCGAUGGUUGGUGUAAAUCGAUAAAGCAAGAUGCUGAACUUGCCUUAAAUAAGUACCAUAAGGGUGGUUUCCUUUACAGACUACUAUAAGUGGACUUUCAGUCAAUUAGGGUGGUACCGCGGGAAUUUCCCGUCCCUAAA
rnacentral:ncRNA from 1 species